AACGAACGCUGGCGGCAGGCCUAACACAUGCAAGUCGAGCGAGGACUUCGGUUCUAGCGGCGGACGGGUUAGUAACGCGUGGGAACGUACCCUUUUCUACGGAAUAGCCUCGGGAAACUGAGAGUAAUACCGUAUACGCCCUUAGGGGGAAAGAUUUAUCGGAGAAGGAUCGGCCCGCGUUAGAUUAGAUAGUUGGUGGGGUAAUGGCCUACCAAGUCUACGAUCUAUAGCUGGUUUGAGAGGAUGAUCAGCAACACUGGGACUGAGACACGGCCCAGACUCCUACGGGAGGCAGCAGUGGGGAAUCUUAGACAAUGGGCGCAAGCCUGAUCUAGCCAUGCCGCGUGAGUGAUGAAGGCCUUAGGGUCGUAAAGCUCUUUCGCCUGUGAAGAUAAUGACUGUAGCAGGUAAAGAAACCCCGGCUAACUCCGUGCCAGCAGCCGCGGUAAUACGGAGGGGGUUAGCGUUGUUCGGAAUUACUGGGCGUAAAGCGCGCGUAGGCGGACAUUUAAGUCAGAGGUGAAAUCCCAGGGCUCAACCCUGGAACUGCCUUUGAUACUGGGUGUCUUGAGUUCGAGAGAGGUGAGUGGAAUUCCGAGUGUAGAGGUGAAAUUCGUAGAUAUUCGGAGGAACACCAGUGGCGAAGGCGGCUCACUGGCUCGAUACUGACGCUGAGGUGCGAAAGUGUGGGGAGCAAACAGGAUUAGAUACCCUGGUAGUCCACACCGUAAACGAUGAAUGCCAGUCGUCGGGCAGUAUACUGUUCGGUGACACACCUAACGGAUUAAGCAUUCCGCCUGGGGAGUACGGUCGCAAGAUUA
rnacentral:rRNA from 1 species